GCAGAGUGUGGAUUAUGCCCUGGCCAUGUCCUCAUGUUUCCCAACGGCUGGGAGUCAGAAAUUGAGUGACCUGGGAGCACCUUUGUUGUGCCAUCUAUAGCAAAAAGACACUUGGGUGCAAGUGGGAAUCUUGAGUCACUUUGAGGAGCAUUGCACAAAGCCCUAUGUCUUCAGCCAAGUGCACCCUUUCCUUUUCUGGCUCCAGGAAGUGACAUGGCCUAGCCAUGCAUCCUGGCACCACCAAGGGCCCGUGACUGCCUCUGCUUCCAUGUCCCUUUCAGUCUCUACCUCUACAAAUGCCUCAGCUUUUACCUCCACUCCCAAUUCCAUUCGGCCACACUACAUCUCUCUGCCACAGCCUCAGAGUAAGUCUCAAAAACUUGGUAGGAGAAGUAAAGGAAGAAGAGAAUGGAAAUAGAAAAGAAUAGAGGGAAGGAGAGGGGAGAGAAAGCUCUUCCUGAGAAAUGCGUGAGUUUUUUAUCUACCAAAUCAUAGAAAUUAUUUUCCUUAUGGCUUACAAAGGCAUUUCAUACUUGAUAUAUGAUUCAAUUUCCAUAGUAUCCCUAUAGAUUACUCUAUGAUGUAGAUUAUGUAACAUGAUUAUUAUAGUUAUCUUAAAUGCGUAUUCUGACACUAGUUAUGUAGAAUGGAUUGAUCAAGUUCCCGUGGCAGAAGAUGAAUAGGGCUAACAUUAAGACACAUUCUCCUAACACAAAAACAUUUCUUUA
rnacentral:lncRNA from 1 species